rnacentral:rRNA from 1 species
UACGGGGGGGGCUAGCGUUGUUCGGAAUUACUGGGCGUAAAGGGCGCGUAGGCGGCCUACUAAGUCGGACGUGAAAUCCCUCGGCUCAACCGGGGAACUGCGUCCGAUACGGGUGGGCUCGAAUCCGGGAGAGGGAUGUGGAAUUCCAGGUGUAGCGGUGAAAUGCGUAGAUAUCUGGAGGAACACCGGUGGCGAAGGCGGCAUCCUGGACCGGUAUUGACGCUGAUGCGCGAAAGCCAGGGGAGCAAACGGG